AACGAACGCUGGCGGCAGGCUUAACACAUGCAAGUCGAACGCGCCCUUCGGGGCGAGUGGCAGACGGGUGAGUAACGCGUGGGAACCUACCUUUUGGUACGGAAUAACUCAGGGAAACUUGAGCUAAUACCGUAUGUGCCCUGUCCUUUAACGGGAUUUGGGGAAAGAUUUAUCGCCAAAGGAUGGGCCCGCGUCGGAUUAGCUAGUUGGUGGGGUAACGGCCUACCAAGGCGACGAUCCGUAGCUGGUCUGAGAGGAUGAUCAGCCACACUGGGACUGAGACACGGCCCAGACUCCUACGGGAGGCUG
rnacentral:rRNA from 1 species